rnacentral:rRNA from 1 species
ACAGGUGCUGCAUGGCUGUCGUCGGCUCGUGUCGUGAGAUGUUGGGAUAAGUCCCGCAACGAGCGCAACCCUUGUCAUUAGUUGCUACGAAAGGGCACUCUAAUGAGACUGCCGGUGACAAACCGGAGGAAGGUGGGGAUGACGUCAAGUCCUCAUGGCCCUUAUGGGUAGGGCUUCACACGUCAUACAAUGGUACAUACAGAGCGCCGCCACCCGCGAGGGGGAGCUAAUCCCAUAAAACCAGUCGUAGUCCGGAUCGCAGUCUGCAACUCGACUGCGUGAAGUCGGAAUCGCUAGUAAUCGCGGAUCAGCAUGCCGCGGUGAAUACGUUCCCGGGUCUUGUACACGCC